UACGUAGGGGGCGAGCGUUACCCGGAUUUACUGGGCGUAAAGCGCGUGUAGGCGGCUGGUCAAGCGUGGUGUGAAAUCUCCGGGCUCAACCCGGAAACUGCAUUGCGAACUGACCUAGCUGGAGUGCAGGAGAGGGCAGCGGAAUUCCCGGUGUAGCGGUGAAAUGCGUAGAUAUCGGGAAGAACACCAGUGGCGAAGGCGGCUGCCUGGCCUGUAACUGACGCGUGAGACGGCGAAAGCGUGGGAGCGAACCGG
rnacentral:rRNA from 1 species